GAUGAACGCUGGCGGCGUGCCUAAUACAUGCAAGUCGAGCGAACAGACGAGGAGCUUGCUCCUCUGACGUUAGCGGCGGACGGGUGAGUAACACGUGGAUAACCUACCUAUAAUACUGGGAUAACUUCGGGAAACCGGAGCUAAUACCGGAUAAUAUAUUGAACCGCAUGGUUCAAUAGUGAAAGACGGUUUUGCUGUCACUUAUAGAUGGAUCCGCGCCGCAUUAGCUAGUUGUUAAGGUAACGGCUUACCAAGGCAACGAUGCGUAGCCGACCUGAGAGGGGGAUCGGCCACACUGGAACUGAGACACGGUCCAGACUACUACGGGAGGCAGCAGUAGGGAAUAUUCCGCAAUGGGCGAAAGCAUGACGGAGCAACGCCGCGUGAGUGAUGAAGGUCUUCGGAUCGUAAAACUCUGUUAUUAGGGAAGAACAAAUGUGUAAGUAACUAUGCACGUCUUGACGGUACCUAAUCAGAAAGCCACGGCUAACUACGUG
rnacentral:rRNA from 1 species